rnacentral:rRNA from 1 species
UACGUAGGGGGCAAGCGUUAUCCGGAAUUAUUGGGCGUAAAGAGCUCGUAGGCGGUUUGUCGCGUCUGCCGUGAAAGUCCGGGGCUCAACUCCGGAUCUGCGGUGGGUACGGGCAGACUAGAGUGAUGUAGGGGAGACUGGAAUUCCUGGUGUAGCGGUGAAAUGCGCAGAUAUCAGGAGGAACACCGGUGGCGAAGGCGGGUCUCUGGGCCGAUACUGACGCUGAGGAGCGAAAGCGUGGGGAGCGAACAGG